rnacentral:rRNA from 1 species
AACGAACGCUGGCGGCAGGCUUAACACAUGCAAGUCGAACGCACCUUUCGGGGUGAGUGGCAGACGGGUGAGUAACGCGUGGGAAUCUACCCUUCUCUACGGGAUAGCUCCGGGAAACUGGAAUUAAUACCGUAUACGUCCUGAGGGAGAAAGAUUUAUCGGGGAAGGAUGAGCCCGCGUUGGAUUAGCUAGUUGGUGGGGUAAAGGCCUACCAAGGCGACGAUCCAUAGCUGGUCUAAGAGGAUGAUCAGCCACAUUGGGACUGAGACACGGCCCAAACUCCUACGGGAGGCAGCAGUGGGGAAUAUUGGACAAUGGGCGCAAGGCUGAUCCAGCCAUGCCGCGUGAGUGAUGAAGGCCCGAAGGUUGUAAAGCUCUUUCAGUGGGGACGAUAAUGACGGUACCCACAGAAGAAGCCCCGGCUAACUUCGUG